rnacentral:rRNA from 1 species
AUACGGAGGAUCCGAGCGUUAUCCGGAUUUAUUGGGUUUAAAGGGUGCGUAGGCGGGAUAAUAAGUCAGUGGUGAAAGUUUGCAGCUUAACUGUAAAAUUGCCAUUGAAACUGAGGGUCUUGAGUGUAAAUAAGGUAGGCGGAAUGUGUUGUGUAGCGGUGAAAUGCUUAGAUAUAACACAGAACACCAAUUGCGAAGGCAGCUUACUGGGAUACAACUGACGCUGAGGCACGAAAGCGUGGGGAUC